AUUGAACGCUGGCGGCAGGCUUAACACAUGCAAGUCGAGCGGAGAUGAGGUGCUUGCACCUUAUCUUAGCGGCGGACGGGUGAGUAAUGCUUAGGAAUCUGCCUAUUGGUGGGGGACAACAUUCCGAAAGGAAUGCUAAUACCGCAUACGCCCUACGGGGGAAAGCAGGGGAUCUUCGGACCUUGCGCUAAUAGAUGAGCCUAAGUCGGAUUAGCUAGUUGGUGGGGUAAAGGCCUACCAAGGCGACGAUCUGUAGCGGGUCUGAGAGGAUGAUCCGCCACACUGGGACUGAGACACGGCCCAGACUCCUACGGGAGGCAGCAGUGGGGAAUAUUGGACAAUGGGCGGAAGCCUGAUCCAGCCAUGCCGCGUGUGUGAAGAAGGCCUUUUGGUUGUAAAGCACUUUAAGCGAGGAGGAGGCUACCUGGAUUAAUACUCUAGGAUAGUGGACGUUACUCGCAGAAUAAACACCGGCUAACUCUGUGCCAGCAGCCGCAGUAACAC
rnacentral:rRNA from 1 species